rnacentral:rRNA from 1 species
AUUGAACGCUGGCGGCAGGCCUAACACAUGCAAGUCGAGCGAGCGGCGGACGGGUGAGUAAUGUAUGGGGACUGCCCGAUAGAGGGGGAUAACUACUGGAAACGGUGGCUAAUACCGCAUACUGUAGGAUAACCCAUAGGGGAUUAGCUAGUAGGUAAGGGAAUGGCUUACCUGGGCGACACUCACUAGCUGGUCUGAGAGGAUGAUCAGCCACACUGGGACUGAGACACGGCCCAGGUUCCUACGGAGGCAGCAGUGGGGAAUAUUGCACAAUGGGCGCAAGCCUGAUGCAGCCAUGCCGCGUGUAUGAAGAAGGCCCUAGGGUUGUAAAGUACGUUCAGUCGGGAGGCGUUACCGACAGAAGAAGCACCGGCUAACUCCGUGCCAGCAGCCGCGGUAAUAC